rnacentral:rRNA from 1 species
ACGGGUGAGUAACACGUGGGCAACCUGCCUAUAAGACUGGGAUAACUUCGGGAAACCGGAGCUAAUACCGGAUAAUUCCUUCCCUCUCAUGAGGGAAGGCUGAAAGACGGCUUACUCUGUCACUUAUAGAUGGGCCCGCGGCGCAUUAGCUAGUUGGUGAGGUAACGGCUCACCAAGGCAACGAUGCGUAGCCGACCUGAGAGGGUGAUCGGCCACACUGGGACUGAGACACGGCCCAGACUCCUACGGGAGGCAGCAGUAGGGAAUCUUCCGCAAUGGACGAAAGUCUGACGGAGCAACGCCGCGUGAGUGAUGAAGGUUUUCGGAUCGUAAAACUCUGUUGUUAGGGAAGAACAAGUACGAGAGUAACUGCUCGUACCUUGACGGUACCUAACCAGAAAGCCACGGCUAACUACGUGCCAGCAGCCGCGGUAAUACGUAGGUGGCAAGCGUUGUCCGGAAUUAUUGGGCGUAAAGCGCGCGCAGGCGGUCUUUUAAGUCUGAUGUGAAAGCCCACGGCUCAACCGUGGAGGGUCAUUAGAAACUGGGAGACUUGAGUGCAGAAGAGAAGAGUGGAAUUC